AUUGCCCGCUAGCGGGAUGCUUUACACAUGCAAGUCGAACGGAGUGGCGGACGGGUGAGUAAUAUAUCGGCACGUGCGCAGUCGCGGUGGAUAACUACUCGCCAGAGUGGCUACUACCGCAUACUCUUGGCGCGGCCGAUAUCGGAUUAGCUAUGUGGUGGGGUACCGGCUCACCAAGGCACGGAUCCGUAGCUGGUUUGAGAGGACGACCAGCCACACGUGGACUGAGACACGGCCCAGGCGCCUACGGGAGGCAGCAGUGGGGAAUGUUGGACAAUGGGGGAAACCCUGAGCCAGCCAUCCCGCGUGUAUGAUGAAGGCCUUCGGGUUGUAAAGUACUUUUGGCAGAGAAGCGGUAUCUGCAGAAUAAGCACCGGCUAACUACGUGCCAGCAGCCGCGGUAAUAC
rnacentral:rRNA from 1 species